GGCGCCGGGGCUGAGGGGCGGCUGCUGCUGCCGCCAGUGCGCGGGGUUAUGCGAGCCGGGUGGCUGGGUCAUCGUAGGAAAGAUGUGGCUGCAGUCGUGGAGAGCACGAUUCCUGCAAAGUCAUCUCCACCCGCACAGCCUGGCCGGCCAGCCCGCCCCGCCCAGGGACAGCAACACCAGCCACCCCACCUCUUUUUUCCUCCCCCAUCCCCGCGCCUUGCACGCAGGGCCUGAAGUUGGGGUGCGGUAUGGACUAUGUUUAGAAGCUGAUGUCAUCGCGACACCCUACUCUGCAGUCUUCCCAGAGGGACCGCAGGGCAGGUUUUCCUGAUCUUCGAGGAGGGAUGUGGGGGUGGAAAGUAGCCUGCCUUCUCAGCACACCUCACACCCAUGGUACCUCAGGGAUUAAAAAAAAAAAAGAAAA
rnacentral:lncRNA from 1 species